rnacentral:rRNA from 1 species
UACGGAGGAUGCGAGCGUUAUCCGGAUUUAUUGGGUUUAAAGGGUGCGUAGGUGGGAUUUUAAGUCAGCGGUGAAAGUUUGUGGCUCAACCAUAAAAUUGCCGUUGAAACUGGAGUUCUUGAGUAUGUUUGAAGUAGGCGGAAUGCGUGGUGUAGCGGUGAAAUGCAUAGAUAUCACGCAGAACUCCGAUUGCGAAGGCAGCUUACUAACCAUAACUGACACUGAAGCACGAAAGCGUGGGUAUCAAACAGGAUUAGAUACCCUGGUA